UACGAGGGGGGCGAGCGUUGUUCGGAAUUAUUGGGCGUAAAGGGUGCGUAGGCGGUUUGGUAAGUCUGAUGUGAAAUCUCACAGCUUAACUGUGAAACUGCAUUGGAUACUAUUCGGCUUGAGGUCUGGAGAGGAGACUGGAAUUUACGGUGUAGCGGUGAAAUGCGUAGAUAUCGUAAGGAAGACCAGUGGCGAAGGCGGGUCUCUGGACAGUUCCUGACGCUGAGGCACGAAGGUCAGGGGAGCAAACGGG
rnacentral:rRNA from 1 species